AGCUUGCUCCUGGGUGACGAGCGGCGGACGGGUGAGUAAUGUCUGGGAAACUGCCUGAUGGAGGGGGAUAACUACUGGAAACGGUAGCUAAUACCGCAUAACGUCUUCGGACCAAAGAGGGGGACCUUCGGGCCUCUUGCCAUCAGAUGUGCCCAGAUGGGAUUAGCUAGUAGGUGAGGUAAUGGCUCACCUAGGCGACGAUCCCUAGCUGGUCUGAGAGGAUGACCAGCCACACUGGAACUGAGACACGGUCCAGACUCCUACGGGAGGCAGCAGUGGGGAAUAUUGCACAAUGGGCGCAAGCCUGAUGCAGCCAUGCCGCGUGUAUGAAGAAGGCCUUCGGGUUGUAAAGUACUUUCAGCGAGGAGGAAGGCAUUGUGGUUAAUAACCGCAGUGAUUG
rnacentral:rRNA from 1 species